CGCGGCGAGGGCCGCGCUGGAGAGCUGCGCAGGCGCCUUAGGAGUACUGCAGUUUACCGCCGCAGCGUUGGAGGGUGGGGAGCGGCUGGGGCGCGGCGAUGGUGGUUCCGCAGGCAGGCGUUGUCGCAGCCCUGGCCAGGAAAACGCUACAGAACCCAUGAUAGAGCUCGGGCUUGAGAAGCAGAUACCCGCAGAUAACCCUGUAUGGAAAAGCCGAGGCGCCCCGGACCGAGGGGCGGCUUUGUUGGGUGUUGCCACCUCCAGCAAGCGGUCAGCUCUGGCAGCGGCGUGGGGUGGGUCCUGCCCUUUGGGACAGCCCCUCACAGACACACUAGAAUCCACAAUACUGCAGGGUUUACCCUAACCAUCUUUACCGGGGUUGCCAGUGGCUGAAGUGUGCAAAAGGCAGAAGUCAUGUGUCCAGUGACUCCCCAGUGUGCCCCUGGUCGUCUCAGGUCACCUCUCCGGAGCCUGUUUCUCUGCUCAGAAUAAGGGGGUAAGAAUUCCUGGGAAGGCAAAGAGAUUAUACAAAGGCCAGCUCUGUUUUCCUUCAGGUGUGAGGGCUGCUGUUUUUGAGAUAGGAUGGCACUAGAUAGCAGAAGCUGAUCCUCCUGCCUCAGCCUCGAGUGCUGUGCAUAAACAGGUCAGGCCCCGGAGCUGUUCUCCUGGCAGCUGCCCUGUGCUCUCACUUUCUACCUCACUGUGUGUGUUUAAGGCUGUGCUCUCGCUAGCAGUG
rnacentral:lncRNA from 1 species